rnacentral:tRNA from 1 species
GGGGUUGUGGCUCAGUGAUAGAGCGCUUGCCUAGCAUGCAUGAGGAACUGGGUUCGAUCCCCAGCACCACG